UGUACAAGCUGGUGGAUCCAACACAGUAAGCACAAGUGUACAAGCUGGUAGAUCCGACAUGGUAAGCACAAGUGUACAAGCUGGUAGAUCCGACACGGUAAGCACAAGUGUACAAGCUGGUGGAUUCGACAUGGUAAGCACAAGUGUACAAGCUGGUAGAUCCAACACGGUAAGCACAAGUGUACAAGCUGGUAGAAGUGACACGGUAAGCACAAGUGUACAAGCUGGUAGAUCCGACACUGUAAGCACAAGUGUACAAGCUGGUAGAUCCGACACGGUAAGCACAAGUGUACAAGCUGGUAGAUCCAACACGGUAAGCACAAGUGUACAAGCUGGUGGAUUUGACACGGUAAGCACAAGUGUACAAGCUGGUAGAAGUGACACGGUAAGCACAAGUGUACAAGCUGGUGGAUGUGACAUGGUAAGCACAAGUGUACAAUCUGGUAGAUCCAACACGGUUAGCAGGUUUGUGAGGUGUUAAACCUGACUCGGUAAGGAGUUGGUUUGGGUUGGUUGGCGUUGAACGCGGCACUCAGCAAUAGGCCAGCUAUAUGGCUGCGGUCUGUAAAUAAUCGAGUCUGAACUAGACAAUCCAGUG